UACAAUUGUGCUCAGAAGGAUUCUGAGACUAUGCCUCUGCUACACAGAAAAAUAUGUCGUAAUCAAUUAGCAACGUUUAAAACAGUCACUGAGGAAGACGGAGUAGCAUACCUCAUGUUUUCAUCAUUUGUCUUAUAACAUACAGGACCAACAUGGCCUGAUCCUUCAGAGAAGGCCAGAGCCAUUUUGAAAGCCACCAGGAGAAGUGACGAUACCAAUAGCCGUUUGAGACACCUGCCCACGGAUGAUCAAGUACUACCCACAGCUGUGCAAUAAAGGACCGUGUGAGUACACUGUGUGUACCCAGAUACUCCUGGAUAAUCUCCCUAUUUUAAGGUCAGAUGAUUAGUAACUUUAAUUACAUCUGUAAAGUCUCUUUUGCCAUGAAACACAAUGUAUUUACAGUCAUACGUGAGGAGGUGUAGGUUAUAGGAACCUAAAUUGUGUCUACCACAGGUUAUUACUAUUAUUAUUGUUAUUAUUUAAAUGAGUGAAGGACUAGCAUGGGUAGGGAACAGAAUGUUCUGGACAAUAAAGUUUUCUAGUGCAUUGGAAGUUAUUUCAUUUAGAGUUAAAUUUUGGGGGAUAAAUAAUUACAGCACUGAUUAACCAACUGAAAUUCAGAAUUCUUAUCUGUGUGCACAUAUAUAAUACCAAUCUCCAUAUAUUUUAAAUGUAACACUCUGUUAUCUCUAAACCUUAACACAAAUCUGCCAAUACACUUUCAAAAAUAUUUAUGAAAUUGCCAUGUUAAAGCCACCUCUGAUUUAAAAAAAAAAACUGAAUAGUGAGAAAACUUUUUACAAAAUUUAACUUGAGGGAAGUUUCAGAAAUCUGAAAAACUAUAGAUCUUUCACAUAUAUGUCUUGUUCUGAAAAAUGAUUAGGAUUAAUUCCUGAUAAUACAAUAAAAAUGAGACAUUUAUGAAAUAAUUAGGCUUCAACAAAAAAUGAAAACAUUUAAAUUAUAAUUAUCUCUAAAUAUUUCACUGCCAGAAUAAACCUAAACUAGAUCUGGCUAGAAAUGAAAAACAGAAAGCUUCAAAAAGUCAUGAAAAAGAAAAUAAAAAUAAAACAAAAUAUGGUGUUUAACAUCUUUUGCAUGCCCGUAAUAUAAAGCUGGAUAACUGCCAUUCACAUGGGUAAACUGUAAAGCUUGUCUUUUCUUUUGGUUUAUGGACUUGUGAUAGGCAGCUGGUGAGUAUAGAUAUUUGAAUCUUCUGGGCAUGCUAAGUUCUCUCUCGCAUCUGUUCAAAACUAAGAAUCUCACUGUGAGGCUAAUUAUUUGUAUUUGGGGCUGCAAGUGGCCUAGUACAGAAGCCACUUCACAUUUUGCUCUGGACAGUAGAUCUAGGUACACAUGCAUGUGCAUAUACACAUGGGCACGUGUUCUCACACUUAUACACACACACAUAUUGAUGUACGUGACCAAUUAACGACUUGGGUUAUUUUUCAAACAUACUUUUUUUUUUUUUUUUACUUUAGUGUGUAAUCUAUAUACUAGAGUCAGCGCAACAUCAGCGAUCUUUAAACAGAGACAUGUCACUGGGAAAGAAGUGGACAGAGAUAGGCAAUGAGUAUUUCUAGACCUUCUGAGUUAUACCAUAACUUGCAAUGUUCUUUCUAUUUUCCUCUCAUUUCCUGUUCCUAUUUUUUUCUCAUCCAUUUUUAGAUCUAACUUGCCAAAGUCUCCUUCUAAGCCUGUUUACUCAUGCAGUUACUGUUUUCUCUCACUUGCCUCACACUAACCAGAUUUUGGCCCAGUACAGACUUAGAAUAGGGUGAUUUAGAUCAAAAUUCAACCUCCUGUUUCACAUGAACAAGAUGACAUUUAAGUCUCUAAGGGUUUAUUUAUGCAAAUAUCAAAUAUAAGGAGGACUAUGAGUCACUAUGAAAUUUCCUAAAUCUCCUUUUAGCUAUAGUUAAUAAUUUACAGGUUGAAGGAUGCAUGCUGGAUUAUAAUCAAAUCCUUCAGAAGAGAGGAUGCUGGGACGAUAGCCUUUCACUAUUUAGCAUCUAUUUAUAUGAUAUCACUGAGACUUUUGGCAUAGUUUUCAUGCCCAAAAUGUUUUUAACAUCUGUGUGGCUGUUCUUUUUUUAAGACUGAGGAUUCAGUAUUCAUUAAUCUCUCAAACCCCAACUGGCCUUCAGAAGCAACUCAAUGCUUUCUUUGAGGACUGCACAAAAUAUAAUCUCAAAAUAAAUCACAAGAAGUGUAAGGUAAUGGUUUUUAGUUCUAGGAAAUUCAAGAGUUCCUGGUAUGCUUAGGGAGUUAAGUUUAAUGUGGUGAAAUAUUUUAUGUGGCUUUGCAUUAUCUUUCACUUAAAUCUGCCAUGCGAAAAGCAAAGAAAGUUGAAAAUCUCAGCAACAAUAGAGGAUUAGAUUUAGGAGGGAAUGAAUUGAUGCCCAUUUUUAUGAUAUAUCAACCUAAAGCAGGUUUCCAGAUUCUGUGCUAUUCAGAAACCCAUAAUAUUCACGAUGGUGAAUGUAUUAAAAUUGCUUUUGGAAAAUGAGGAUGACAUUCGUUUGACACAGAGGGUGUUUAAUCUCUGUAGGCAAAUCAGAUGGGGAAAAACAGUUUUUUUCAUUUGAGUUGCAUUCAUUAUCAUUUCUGCACCUUUGAUAAGAUGGUCAAAAUGAACAGAUCAGUCAGGCUGUAGGCAGUCGGAAGGCUAUGCUCAUAGGCAUGAAAUGAACAGUUACUGACAGGGUUUUUGAGAGAAAUGGAAUAUACGGAGGUGAACCUAACCAGAAUGCUAAUAUGGAAACUGCCUACAGAUGGUUUAGUAGGAGAAAUUUUAUUUUGGGUGAAACAGAAAUGCAAAAUAUACAACUCCAGAAUUUAACAUUUAGAUUAUUGUUAUUUGGGAAAACAAUUAUUUCUAAAAUUUGAUGGACACUGAAUAUCCUUAACAUUUUUACAAACAAAAUUAUUCCAAACAGAAUUUUUAUGGCCUUUCAGAAAAGUGCAUUUGAAAUUAGUCUUAUAGUGAUGGGGAGACUGAAGGAAACAUUUGGCCUCAAAGAAAUGGCCAAGAAGUGUUAUUUUCAAGUGCAUUAUUAUCAUCCCUAUAGGAUAAUUUGGAAACUUUGUGAAUAACUGCAUGAUUAGAUAGGAAGAUCCAUCCUUGUUAGAAGACAUGUGCUUGUAUAAUCAAUUGUACAUGAUUACUUUUAAGUUCAUGGUUUCCUUGGAUGCAGCUUGCCAAUAAAUGUCUCUUUGAUAUAAUAUGAGAAAGAAUUAAUAAGAAGCAAUAAUGAAACUAACUUGAAAACAGUUGAAAAUAUAAAUAGUGCCUUUGAUUUUUAAAGAGAAGAUUCUUGCCAGAGUAACACAGAUCCAGAUAAUAGAGAACUCAGGAAGCAAAGUUCUGAUAGUUUAUAGUUCCUUGCUGGCAUAGCUAAACCACUUUGAAAAUAUGCUUUAACUCUUAAAUUUCUGAAUAAGCUGGUGUGCUCCUUCCUGGCUGAAUGUUGCUUUCUCUCAUUUUAGCCCCAUAUUCUUUUUUAUUUUUUUCAAAGUUAUACACGUACAUAUACUAAAAAGUCAAAAAGUUGUAUAAGGGUUGCAAGAAAAACAGCACUCCUUACCACGCUCCCUGAGGAAACCACUUUUAGCUGAUGUUUUGGGACUUCUCUCCCUGUUGCUAGUAAUGUACUUAUAAUGCUACAUCUUGAUUUUUCAGUGUCAGGUUAGAAUCUAUUGACUUCCCACUACUAAAAUGUUUUUGUUCACAUCACUGCUCCCUAUACCUCUAGAAAAGUUAUAUAGAUCAAUAAUCAUUAUUUAUGUUAUUUUGAUUAUGUAAACACUUAUCACAGCUGCUCCAUUUAGUAAACUGUAUUACUUUUCCUUUCAGGCACAAGUUUAAA